GUGAUGUGGAAUCUGUUCCCCCCUUCAACUGUCAGUAGUGAGCUCACAGAAGCUCCUGUCUGAAUCAUUCAGUUUUGUGGUGAUCUCUCAGCGGCCGCUUGUUUUUUGUUUUUGUGUGCACUUCUGUUUUUGUCUCUUUUGAUUGUCUUUCUGUGUGACUGAAUACUGUUUGUCCUCUUUGUCAGAUCUCUAUUUUCUAGACUCUCUUCUUUUUUCUCACCACCCCACUUUAGAUGCUUGUUAGUGGCUGUUAUAUGGAUGGAAGGCCCUCACUUCUGCCUGUUGACUUCAAUACGUCUGACAGUAGGGAGGGCCUGGUAUACAGCCAGGCUCCAAUGGUGGGUCUCUGAGGGGCUGGAUAAUGCCCCACCAUUUUCUAAGAAAUCAUUGAAAGCCCAACUUUUAACUGAAAACCAACUUCAUGUACCACUCCCAAAAUGAGUGAGCAGGUCUCAUACUCAACUGUGAGAUUUAAAAAGUCUUCAGGCUUACAGAACCAAGUGAGGUCUGAGGAGACUCAAGGGGCCAAAAAGCUGGCCACAGAAGUAAGAGUUUUUAGUGUCUAAUAUCAGUUGCUUUUUAUGCAUUUUAAACUUUCAACAGUUUAAAAAUACCUUACUGGCUUCUAUUGAAAACUAUCAUGUUCCAUUUUAUCUGCACAUAGUUAUGCACAAGAGUAGAAGGGAACCGUGAGUAUUAACUGAUUAUAUUGAUGGCAAUUAAGUACAAAAUUGUUCAAAACAUAAUUUAAAAAAUAAAACAAUCAAGUUUUAAAAUUAUAAAAGGAAGCAUGAUAAACUACUUCUACUCUUUAGCUUUUAGUCAGUUACCGAAUAAAUCAGAUAAGGAGAGAAGAACAAUGGGAAAAUGCAGGGGAAAAAAAUCUUGAGAAUCCAGAAGGGAGAAGAAAGACUGAAAUGUGCAUGUUUCCAUCCUUCAUAGAAGGGGGAACAAAAUACUCACAGGAGCAAAUACAGUGAUAAAGACUGAAGCAGAGCCCAAAGAAAAGGACAUUGAUAGAUUGACCUACAUGGGGAACAAUCCCAUAUGCAACCACCAAACCCAGUUAAUAUUGCUGAUGCCAUGAAGUGCAUGUUGAGAGGAGCCUGAAGUGGACGUUUCCUGAGAGGGCCUGCCAUAGUUUUAAUUAUACAGAUGAGGAUGCUUGCAGCUAAUCAUCAAACUGAGCAUUGGGGUCCCCAGUGGAGGAUCUAGAGAAAGGACUGAAGGAUUUGAAAGGGUUUGUAACCCCAUAGGAAAAACAACAAUAUAAAUCAACUCAAAUCUUCCAGGGACUAAAACACCAACCAAGAGUACACAGAGAGGGAC
ensembl:lncRNA